UAGGGAAUCUUCCGCAAUGGACGCAAGUCUGACGGAGCAACGCCGCGUGAGUGAUGAAGGAUUUCGGUUCGUAAAACUCUGUUGUUAGAGAAGAACAGCGCAUAGAGUAACUGUUAUGCGUGUGACGGUAUCUAACCAGAAAGCCACGGCUAACUACGUGCCAGCAGCCGCGGUAAUACGUAGGUGGCAAGCGUUGUCCGGAUUUAUUGGGCGUAAAGCGAGCGCAGGCGGUCAAUUAAGUCUGAUGUGAAAGCCCCCGGCUCAACCGGGGAGGGUCCUUGGAAACUGGUUGACUUGAGUGCAGAAGAGGAGAGUUGAAUUCCAUGUGUAGCAGUGAAAUGCGUAGAUAUAUGGAGGAACACCAAUGGCGAAGGCGACCCUCUGGGCUGUAACUGACGCUGAGGCUCGAAAGCGUGGGUAGCAAACAGG
rnacentral:rRNA from 1 species